UAGGGAAUCUUCGGCAAUGGACGAAAGUCUGACCGAGCAACGCCGCGUGAGUGAAGAAGGUUUUCGGAUCGUAAAACUCUGUUGUUAGAGAAGAACAAGGACGUUAGUAACUGAACGUCCCCUGACGGUAUCUAACCAGAAAGCCACGGCUAACUACGUGCAAGCAGCCGCGGUAAUACGUAGGUGGCAAGCGUUGUCCGGAUUUAUUGGGCGUAAAGCGAGCGCAGGCGGUUUCUUAAGUCUGAUGUGAAAGCCCCCGGCUCAACCGGGGAGGGUCAUUGGAAACUGGGAGACUUGAGUGCAGAAGAGGGGGGUGGAAUUCCAGGUGUAGCGGUGAAAUGCGUAGAUAUAUGGAGGAACACCAGUGGCGAAGGCGGCUCUCUGGUCUGUAACUGACGCUGAGGCUCGAAAGCGUGGGGAGCAAACAGG
rnacentral:rRNA from 1 species